rnacentral:rRNA from 1 species
GAUGAACGCUGGCGGCGUGCCUAAUACAUGCAAGUCGAGCGAACGGACGAGAAGCUUGCUUCUCUGAUGUUAGCGGCGGACGGGUGAGUAACACGUGGAUAACCUACCUAUAAGACUGGGAUAACUUCGGGAAACCGUAGCUAAUACCGGAUAAUAUUUUCAACCGCAUGGUUCAAAAGUGAAAGACGGCCUUGCUGUCUCUUAUAGAUGGAUCCGCGCUGCAUUAGCUAGUUGGUAAGGUAACGGCUUACCAAGGCAACGAUGCAUAGCCGACCUGAGAGGGUGAUCGGCCACACUGGAACUGAGACACGGUCCAGACUCCUACGGGAGGCAGCAGUAGGGAAUCUUCCGCAAUGGGCGAAAGCCUGACGGAGCAACGCCGCGUGAGUGAUGAAGGUCUUCGGAUCGUAAAACUCUGUUAUUAGGGAAGAACAUAUGUGUAAGUAACUGUGCACAUCUUGACGGUACCUAAUCAGAAAGCCACGGCUAACUACGUG